GACGAACGCUGGCGGCGUGCCUAAUACAUGCAAGUAGAGCGCACAGUUUAUACCGUAGCUUGCUACACCAUAGACUGUGAGUUGCGAACGGGUGAGUAACGCGUAGGUAACCUGCCUGGUAGCGGGGGAUAACUAUUGGAAACGAUAGCUAAUACCGCAUAAUAUUGAUUAUUGCAUGAUAAUUGAUUGAAAGAUGCUAUUGCAUCACUACCAGAUGGACCUGCGUUGUAUUAGCUAGUAGGUGAGGUAACGGCUCACCUAGGCGACGAUACAUAGCCGACCUGAGAGGGUGAUCGGCCACACUGGGACUGAGACACCGCCCAGACUCCUACGGGAGGCAGCAGUAGGGAAUCUUCGGCAAUGGACGAAAGUCUGACCGAGCAACGCCGCGUGAGUGAAGAAGGUUUUCGGAUCGUAAAGCUCUGUUGUAAGAGAAGAACGGGUGUGAGAGUGGAAAGUUCACACUGUGACGGUAUCUUACCAGAAAGGGACGGCUAACUACGUG
rnacentral:rRNA from 1 species